GACGAACGCUGGCGGCGUGCUUAACACAUGCAAGUCGAACGGAAAGGCCUCUUUCGGGGGGUACUCGAGUGGCGAACGGGUGAGUAACACGUGAGUAACCUGCCCUUGACUUUGGGAUAACUUCAGGAAACUGGGGCUAAUACCGGAUAGGAGCUCCUGCUGCAUGGUGGGGGUUGGAAAGUUUCGGCGGUGGGGGAUGGACUCGCGGCUUAUCAGCGUGUUGGUGGGGGAGUGGCGUACCAAGGCGUUGACGGGUAGCCGGCCUGAGCGGGUGACCGGCCACAUUGGGACUGAGAUACGGCCCAGACGCCGACGGGAGGCAGCAGUGGGGAAUAUUGAAAGAUGGGUGGAAGCCUGAUGCAGCAACGCCGUGUGCGGGAUGACGGCCUUCGGGUUGUAAACCGCUUUCGCUCAUGACGAAGCUUUGUGUGACGGUAGUGGGUAAAGAAGCACCGGCUAACUACGUG
rnacentral:rRNA from 1 species